GACAGAGGGUGCAAACGUUGCUCGGAAUUAUUGGGCGUAAAGCGCGUGUAGGCGGCUUGUUAAGUCGGUUGUGAAAACCCAUGGCUCAACCAUGGAAGUGCGUCCGAAACUGGCAAGCUGGAGUCCCGAAGAGGAUGGCGGAAUUCCCAGUGUAGAGGUGAAAUUCGUAGAUAUUGGGAGGAACAUCGGUGGCGAAGGCGGCCAUCUGGGAGGGUACUGACGCUGAGACGCGAAAGCGUGGGGAGCAAACAGG
rnacentral:rRNA from 1 species